rnacentral:rRNA from 1 species
UACGUAGGGUGCAAGCGUUGUCCGGAAUUAUUGGGCGUAAAGAGCUUGUAGGCGGUUUGUCGCGUCUGCUGUGAAAUUUCGGGGCUCAACCCCGAACUUGCAGUGGGUACGGGCAGACUAGAGUGUGGUAGGGGAGACUGGAAUUCCUGGUGUAGCGGUGAAAUGCGCAGAUAUCAGGAGGAACACCGGUGGCGAAGGCGGUUCUCUGGGCCUUACCUGACGCUCAGGCGCGAAAAGCGUAGGGGAGCGAACUGG